CGUGUUAGGGUUUCAAAGGAUGGCCAAAACUAAGAGGGGUGAUGCUCCUUUUAUAGUUGUGGUUGCUUAGUCCCAAAGCUAGGGUUUGCUGGAACAAACCCAAAUUUCCAGCUUAAGGGCUAAGCAGCCCAUGGAUAAGUCUAAUAAUUAAUAUUGCAAGUAUAUACCAAUUAUAGUUAUGGGCUUAGACACCUAAUCCAACAGUAUCCCACUUGGAUAAGUCUAAUAAUUAAUAUUGCAAGUAUAUACCAAUUAUAGUUAUGGGCUUAGACACCUAAUCCAACAGUAUCCCACUUGGAUAAGUCUAAUAAUUAAUAUUGCAAGUAUAUACCAAUUAUAGUUAUGGGCUUAGACACCUAAUCCAACAGUAUCCCACUUGGAUAAGUCUAAUAAUUAAUAUUGCAAGUAUAUACCAAUUAUAGUUAUGGGCUUAGACACCUAAUCCAACAGUAUCCCACUUGGAUAAGUCUAAUAAUUAAUAUUGCAAGUAUAUACCAAUUAUAGUUAUGGGCUUAGACACCUAAUCCAACAGUAUCCCACUUGGAUAAGUCUAAUAAUUAAUAUUGCAAGUAUAUACCAAUUAUAGUUAUGGGCUUAGACACCUAAUCCAACAGUAUCCCACUUGGAUAAGUCUAAUAAUUAAUAUUGCAAGUAUAUACCAAUUAUAGUUAUGGGCUUAGACACCUAAUCCAACAGUAUCCCACUUGGAUAAGUCUAAUAAUUAUAAUUGCAAGU
rnacentral:lncRNA from 1 species